rnacentral:lncRNA from 1 species
CCCAGAUAUAAACCUUCUUGAGAAUCUAGGGGCCAAGGCUGCUACCAGUCUGCAGGUUUAUUUGGCAACACCACAGGUUUGUAACUAAUGGUCAAGCGUGCUGCCCUAUAAGACACCCUUCUGAAGGGAUAGUUGAAGACAAACCAAGUUGAGAGAGCUGAUGAAAGCAGAAAAUAGACCUGAAUAUUAAAAAGAAACACCUCUCAUAAGUCCAGAACUUGUGACACUGAAAAGGCAGCUGAUUUUUGCAUACAGAAGUAUUUUCCUGUGUAAGAAUUUACAUGAACCACUGAGGUAGUCAAGAUUAACACAUCCCACAGAACUACAGAAGUAUACUCCACAAACUAUCCACCAG